UCUCUGGCAUUGCUCUGACCUACUCCCCUGUGCUUGUCCCACUUCACUCUAACUCCAGGUUCUUGGGAGGAAGGGAUGAUGUGUUCUGUCUCGGGAUGAGAAGUGCUGGAGGCUUUGCAACAGCUGGGAUGGUUCCCAAAGUGCCUGUGUGGAUAUCGAUGGAGAGGGGAACCAGUAAGGAUGAGGAGAUAGCACAGCAAGGGCCCCAGCUGAUGGGCCUGUGAGGAAGGAGAGGGGCGCUUAUGCUCGGGGGGCAGUGUCCAGGAGGCCCAUUCAUCUCUUUCCUCAAAUUAGACAACACGGUGGGGAGAAAGCCACCGUGGCACAUCAAGUUGGGAAACGAGCGCACGCUCUGCAAAUCUCAAGGAAAUGGACAGAGGAAACAGAAAAGCCCUUUUUCCCUGUGCGGACACCUCUGUCAAGCACAGCUUGCCUGUCCUGGCUGGCCCCGCAGGUGCUCCUGGCAGAUGCCUUUGUACACUGAGGACGUCCUGGUGAGUGGUUCUCUGGAUUCAAUUAAUGCACAAACUGACCGGAGUGGAAGACAGAGAGGAGACAGCGUCUGAGGAAAGCUCCUUCUCCCCUGCCAUGCUGCUUCUCACCUGGUGACGAUGUGGACUUAGUGCUUUGAGAUCCCUGGACAUAAGAGGAAUCGAUCUCUAACUGACUGACAAUCUUUCACCCUGCUGGUUAGGCUUCGUAAUGCUGGGAGGUGCUAUGCAGGCUGCUGGGAGAGAAGACAUUAAUAAUUUUACCCACCACUGGACAUUCCAUGUUACAGUACUGACCCACCAGCCAAGAUGUGCCCACUGGUGCAACAGAAGCAUGACUGUCCUGAGACCUGGGCUACUUGCAACCUUGAUAAGACAAGCUGCUUUUGACAAUGGGCAGCAGUCAAUGGAGAGAAGCAUGACUGUGAAAGUAUUGAGAAUAAGAGACUGAGUGCUCCAUCAUAAGAGAAACUCAACCCCCAGAAAGGGAACACUGAGGAAGAGGAAGCAGAAUUUAAGAGCCUGAGGAUGGGGAGGAGUGCCAUGAAGGGCUGUCAUCUGGAUAUGAAUGACACGGCCUUGCACUUAGAAACGCAUGCACCGGAUCUACUCAAGAUGAAGCCAACUACAAUCCCUGCAUAGAUGAGGGAGGUGAUCUCCAGGAACCUCCCUUUAUUGAGUGGCUAUUGGCUGCUGGGGUAGGGAAAAUCAUUCUUCUUUAGGGUGUAGCCACUGGUAGGUUUUACAUACCCUAGUAAAUGGCCGCACGCGC